AUCACUUCUCGGCCUUUUAGCUAAGAUCAAGUGUAGUAUCUGUUCUUAUAAGUUUAAUAUCUGAUAUGUCCUCUAUCUGAGAACAAUAUAUUAAAUAAACUUUUGGAGCUCGGAGUUGGAAUAGGAGCUCGCUCCAUCCACUCCAUGCAUUGACCUGGUAUUGCAGUGCCUCUAGGAACGGUGCACCCCCU
rnacentral:snRNA from 1 species